rnacentral:rRNA from 1 species
CACCGGCAGCCCAAGUGAUGGCCGAUAUUAUUGGGCCUAAAGCGUCCGUAGCUGGCCGCACAAGUUCGUCGGGAAAUUUACUCGCUUAACGAGUGGGCGUCCGGCGAAAACUGUGCGGCUUGGGACCGGAAGAUCCAAGGGGUACGUCCGGGGUAGGAGUGAAAUCCCGUAAUCCUGGACGGACCACCGAUGGCGAAAGCACCUUGGAAGGACGGAUCCGACAGUGAGGGACGAAAGCUAGGGUCUCGAACCGG